rnacentral:rRNA from 1 species
AACGAACGCUGGCGGCAGGCUUAACACAUGCAAGUCGAACGAUGUAGCAAUACAUAGUGGCGCACGGGUGAGUAACGCGUGGGAAUGUACCAUAUAGUGGGGAAUAACUUUGGGAAACUAAAGCUAAUACCGCAUACGCCCUUCGGGGGAAAGAUUUAUCGCUAUAUGAUCAGCCCGCGUGAGAUUAGGUAGUUGGUGGGGUAAUGGCCUACCAAGCCUACGAUCUCUAGCUGGUCUGAGAGGAUGAUCAGCCACACUGGAACUGAGACACGGUCCAGACUCCUACGGGAGGCAGCAGUGGGGAAUAUUGGACAAUGGGCGAAAGCCUGAUCCAGCCAUGCCGCGUGAAUGAUGAAGGCCUUAGGGUUGUAAAGUUCUUUCGCC